GCAACAUCGAUGACAAAGUGUCUGGAGUUGGAGGUCUUAUAAAGCGCGCUUGGCUAUUUUUGCGUGUUAAUAUUAAGCGUAUUUAAUCUGUAACAAGAGCGCGCAAUCUCGUCGCGAGAUUUGAAUGAGAGCCUUACCAGGCCGGUGAAUAGUUUGAUAACAGCUCUCCUCUUGACGGAAGGAGGGAGGAGGUAACAGGAUCAUUCGCCGUCGGUUGGCAGACCAUUCAGUGCCGAGACCAACACUGAUUUCAAGUGGUAAAUUGACUCAGAACGAGUGGGAGAGAAAAAAUGACGGCGUGGAGUGACCGGCGAUGACGUCGCGGAAGUAGAAGGGAGAACAGUGACGUAUUGUUUCUGUUUACCUCUCUUAUUGCAUUAAGGGCUGAGAAUUUGCGGUUGCGUCGCUGAUAGGAAAGGAAGGGUUUGAAAUACGGCAAGAAGACAACGGAGAAAGAUGACGCUGUCACAGAGAACAGCAGUAGCCGUGGAUGUCUUCUCUUCGUCGUCGGACGGUUAAUAGGCAGUGAACGCUGUUUGAAUGCUUAAUGCAGUGCGCAUUCUAGGAUUAAAUUGACCAAUCAUUUCCCGCGCGCAUCGCAGAGGCAAUUGCGCCGCGCGCUCGCGCGCUCUACUAUAUCAAGUCAAUCAAUGGCACUUAGCGCUCAGUUGCCACCGCGCCACUGUGCAGUUCGUAUUAUGACAAGUUGAAUUGUGUAUCCGCGUGCAUCAUUAUAUCAAGCUAAUCGAGAGCGCACUAUGCUCUGUCGUUGCGCGCUUCAUUAGUGGAGUUUGAUUUUUUUUUUUUUGCUUCUGUUGCGUGAAAUUAAAAACGCGCGCGCGCGUGCGAGAAUAAAGCUACGAUUCAGCGCAUUCAGUGAACGAACGGAGUGAAGGAAUGCACGUGAGGAGUCGAUUAUAUUAGUCUAUAAUGACGAAAAAAUAUUUUAUUGGGCUUUCACUAAAAAAAGAACUUGAUAUUUUCUUGCAGAUUACUUGCUCUUGUACGAAGUAUUAUAAAAUUUUCGGUCAACUUCAGAACUUCUCGGUAUUGAAUUCUCGCAUGUCAGAAAUCUGCUGACAAUGUAAUGUUCUUUUCAAAUGUUCAAGAUUAAUCUUCAGGGUUUUUUGGAUUAAUUUCGAGAUUAGUUUAUAAUUGGAUUUAUAUUCAAGUUAAUAUUUAAUGUGAUUUUGAUUUUGGAGAACCUUCAAAAAUCGAACAUUCUAGAUCUUUCGCGAACCUUCUGGAUCUUUCCAGAACCUUUCGAAAUCGAACAUUCUAGACCCUUCGCGAACCUUCUGGAUCUUUUCAGAACUCUUCAAACUCGAAUAUUCUAGACCUUUCGCGAACUUUCUGGACCUUUAGAAUGUCUGAGUUAUUUGUUAUUUAUAAGACAUGUCAUAGACUUUUUUUAAAUUCUUAUUAAAUGUUAACUAUAACAGAUUAU